AUUGAACGCUGGCGGCAUGCUUUACACAUGCAAGUCGAACGGUAACAGGCCUUCGGGUGCUGACGAGUGGCGAACGGGUGAGUAAUGCAUCGGAACGUACCCAGAGGUGGGGGAUAACGCAGCGAAAGCUGUGCUAAUACCGCAUGUGAUCUGAGGAUGAACGCGUGGGACCGCGCAGCAAUGUUUGGCCUCGCGCCUUUGGAGCGGCCGGUGUCGGAUUAGCUAGUGGGGGGGGUAAAGGCCUACCAAGGCGGCGAUCCGUAGCUGGUCUGAGAGGACGAACAGGCACAUGGGGAGUGAGACAGGGCAGAGACUCCUAGGGGAGGACGCAGUGGGGAAUUUUGGACGAUGGGCGAAAGCCUGAUCCAGCAAAGCCGGGUGAGGGAAGAAGGCCUUAGGGUUGGAAACCGAUUUUGGCAGGAGGGAAACGGUGUCCGCUAAUACCGGGCGCUAAUGACGGUACCUGCAGAAUAAGCACCGGCUAACUACGUG
rnacentral:rRNA from 1 species